UCUCCUUGCUGGCCAGACACGCAAAUGGAUUCUUCAAACUGAAAUAAGCUGGAUUCCUUGGCUCGCAUCUCUCAAGGUCGGGGAGACCCAAGUCGUGUUCUCUGAAUAUCAAAGAUGCUUUCAGAGUUUGGAAAACUGGGAGGAAGUUAAAAGGAAGGGAAGAGACAGAGUGAGCCUGAUGAAGCUUGGGAAAAAAAAAAGGUGGCCAAGAAGGAAGGACAGAAGAAAGGAUGGCAUGACGUAUCAAAGCUCAGGCCACUGGGCUACCGCAGUAAUUGCCAUUUCUGCGGAGCCAGGCCACAGCAUCAAAUGUGCAAGGAGAGACUUCAGGAGGCCCAGGAACGAAGGUGUGGCAGAAGAGAGAAGGGCGGAGAACUGAGAGCAGUGAGGG